rfam:Myotis lucifugus cont2.43261, whole genome shotgun sequence.
GGCCUCCCUCUGCGGGGCAAUCGGUCACAGGGCUCUGCGAUCGAUUGCCCCGCAGAGGGAGGCC